rnacentral:rRNA from 1 species
UUUUCCUACGGGGGGCAGCAGUGAGGAAUAUUGGUCAAUGGGCUUACGCCUGAACCAGCCAAGUCGCGUGAGGGAAGACUGCCCUAUGGGUUGUAAACCUCUUUUGUCAGGGAGCAACGCCGGCUACGUGUAGCCGGACUGAGAGUACCUGAAGAAAAAGCAUCGGCUAACUCCGUGCCAGCAGCCGCGGUAAUACGGAGGAUGCGAGCGUUAUCCGGAUUUAUUGGGUUUAAAGGGUGCGUAGGCGGAAUAUCAAGUCAGCGGUAAAAAUUCGGUGCUCAACCCCGUCGUGCCGUUGAAACUGG